CCUACGGGCGGCAGCAGUGAGGAAUAUUGGUCAAUGGACGCAAGUCUGAACCAGCCAUGCCGCGUGCAGGAAGACGGCUCUAUGAUUUGUAAACUGCUUUUGUACGAGGGUAAACGCAGAUACGUGUAUCUGCCUGAAAGUAUCGUACGAAUAAGGAUCGGCUAACUCCGUGCCAGCAGCCGCGGUAAUACGGAGGAUUCAAGCGUUAAUCGGAUUUAGUGGGUUUAACGGGUGCGUAGGCGGUCGGAUAAGUUAGAGGUGAAAUCCCGAGGCUCAACUUCGGAACUGCCUCUGAUACUGGCCGGCUAGAGUGUAGUUGCGGUAGGUGGAAUGUAAGGUGUAGCGGUGAAAUGCGUAGAGAUCAUACAGAACACCGAUUGCGAAGGCAGCUUACCAGGCUACUUCUGACGUUGAGGCACGAAAGCGUGGGGAGCAAACAGGAUUAGAUACCCCGGUAGUC
rnacentral:rRNA from 1 species